rnacentral:rRNA from 1 species
ACAUCCAGCGAACUUGGCAGAGAUGCCUUGGUGCCUUCGGGAACGCUGAGACAGGUGCUGCAUGGCUGUCGUCAGCUCGUGUUGUGAAAUGUUGGGUUAAGUCCCGNAACGAGCGCAACCCUUAUCCUUUGUUGCCAGCGAUUCGGCCGGGAACUCAAAGGAGACUGCCGGUGAUAAACCGGAGGAAGGUGGGGAUGACGUCAAGUCAUCAUGGCCCUUACGAGUAGGGCUACACACGUGCUACAAUGGUGCAUACAAAGAGAAGCGACCUCGCGAGAGCAAGCGGACCUCAUAAAGUGCGUCGUAGUCCGGAUCGGAGUCUGCAACUCGACUCCGUGAAGUCGGAAUCGCUAGUAAUCGUGGAUCAGAAUGCCACGGUGAAUACGUUCCCGGGCCUUGUACACACCGCCCGUCACACCAUGGGAGUGGGUUGCAAAAGAAGUAGGUAGCUUAACCCUCGGGAGGGCGCUUACCACUUUGUGAUUCAUGACUGGGGUGAAGUCGUAACAAGGUAAGCGUAGCGAG